rnacentral:rRNA from 1 species
UCAGCCGCCGCGGUAAUACCAGCUCUCCUAGUGGUAGGGACAAUUAUUGGGCUUAAAGCGUCCGUAGCCAGCCCCUCAAGUCUCUCGUUAAAUCCAACGAUUCAAUCGCUGGACUGCGGGGAAUACUGUCGGUCUUGAAGCCGGGAGACGUCCGAGGUACUCCGGGGGUAGCGGUGAAAUGUUCUGAUCCUCGGGGGACCACCGGUGGCGAAGGCGUUCGACGAGAACGGGCCUGACGGUGAGGGGCGAAGGCUAGGGGAGCAAACGGGAUUAGAUACCCCGGUAGUCCUAGCUGUAAAGCAUGCGGGCAAGGUGCUCGUCGCUCUUCGAGGGCGCCGGGUGCCGUAGAGAAGUCGUUAAGCCCGCCGCCUGGGAAGUACGGUCGCAAGGCUGAAACUUAAAGGAAUUGGCGGGGGAGCACA